UAAAAAAUAAGCUCGAAUCAAGGUUAACCAAAGAGCUCAUCCUAGUAAUUAGUUUCAAUCGAGAUUGAUUAGGUCCCCAGCUUGAUGGAGCUGGGCUCAAUCGCACUCUUAUACAUAGUGACAUUCGAAUGGUUCCAUGGGCACUAUAUAUCUUUACAAAAAAACAAAAAAAACAAAAAAAGAAAAAAAAAGUUUAAGCUAAAAUAUAAUUAGAAAAUAUAUGAGCGAGUUGAUACUAACUAUUAGCUGCAGGUCGUUUCACUGAACUCUAAUGGCCACCUGGAAGCUUGUUUGGAGUUUGGGAGCUCCGACACCCCUCCUUCCAGUCCUCCUCAACUCUCCUCCGCUCCCGCUCUCGCCGGCGGCCGGCCAUGGAAGCUCUCCUCCUUGCGUCCUUUAGGUGGACGAGCGGUAGAGGUCCGUCCUCCACGACCGCCUCUUCUUCUCUCUCUCGGAAUCCACUGCUCUCUUUUGUUUUCUUCUUCUGAUCUUACUAAUAACUUGAAAGCUCAAGUACAGAAUCAACUGAUUAUGGCCAGAUGCCAAGUUCGGCUAUGCCAACUUAUGCUACCAUCCAAGGCAAAGGAACAUAGAUUGGAAAGGACGAACAGACAUGCGGUGAAGAUAUGGAAACACUGGUAGAUGAAGGAUGGUCUCUUAGGUUCCCAGUUCAAGUAGGAAAAUAGUGGAGAGGUUGAUAGAAAGAAGAACAACCAUCUGCUGGACUAUACUCGGCUACAAAAUAUGGGCAACUUAGCUACACAGAAACAGACAUGACCUUGAAGAUUUGAUGGAUCUUAAAGUGAACAGUUACUAUAAUAAAAGGCCAAAUUAGUAAGGAGGCUGUCCAUGGAAGAGGAUUAUGUCAAAACUCAAUAUAACGUACCCCCCCCGGAAUGAGGCCUUCUUUGCCUUCCACCUAAGCUGUGCAGGAUGCUUAUGACAAAGGAAAUUAAGAGCAGGCUGAUUUCAGCUAUAUUACAACCACAGAGGCAAUGUCCUGCAGGCAGCAGUGCCAGAAAAAAUAGGUCCACAGAAGUUUUAGGGGCAUAAAAUCAAGCUAUGUGAAGGGCUGAAAUGUGUUGAGUCUGGCUCAGUCAGCGAAAGUGUAAGAGGAAACAGAUUUGUUAUUUACUAUUCAAAACAUCAAGAAUGGUGUAUUUUGCAAUCUCUUUUGGGUGUAGGAAGCUGCACGAGAUAGAUUUUAUGAACCCUGUACAUAUGAGAGAUUUUGUGUCAGCAGACUGCUCUUGGCCAUUACAUAAUUUAUGUAAAACAAGUUACAACAAAGAACCAGUGAUUUCAAAA